rnacentral:misc_RNA from 1 species
CUAUCAACAUACGAAAGGAAAACAGAAGUCCACACAGUGUGGCUAGAGACAAGCCCAUCAAACCAAACCAACUCACAAAUCAACCCAACCCCAACCUAGAAACUCUAGGUAUAUAGAGAAUAACAUAACUAGAAGAGUACUCCGCCGACCACCUCUAUGAGCUGCCAUUGCUAGAAAAGCUGAGCAGAGAUUGAAGCUAACCCAUCAUUAGUUCAAUAAGGAGCAACCAAACGUCGCCCAUCACAACAUAACCUUUCACCCAUCAGCACUAACCUCCAUAUUUCUCCACAAACCUCAUUACUCAACUCCACCUCGCCAAAAGGAUGCUGUCGCAGAGCUCUCCAGCUCGCGUAGGUUCACUGUCAUGGUGUAGAAGCAAAUCCCAGAGAUGCGAGAUAGCGGAAGUAAUAUUUGUCCUUUUGAUACUCAAAGUAGACGCAAAAGACCAAUCACCAAAUGACACCCUUUAACCUUCAAAUAGCCAGCACAAUGGCAAGCCC